CUCUCAUGGGUUGGGGGCUAUUACCCCUGCAGGGCUGGCACUGGGGAACCUUUUGGGCCAUUCUCAACUGAUGCUUCUUUUCUUCCAGGGAAAGGGCCCUCUGGCCCGCACAGCAUGGAUAUGGGCAGAACGGUUUUUCCUAACUAGGCCUUCUGGGUUGCAGCAGAACAGCAUGUGUCUGCUUCUCAAAUGUAACAGAUUGUCUCUGGAAACUGCGAAAUCUGACCAGAAGGCCCUUAGCCUCCCAGGCUCUGUAGCUUCUGCAGUGAUGAGGCCUGACCACCAGAUGGCUCCACAGAGGCCACUGCUCUCUCAGGGAAGAGGAGGCUGGGAAGAUCCAGGGGAGGACAUGGAAUUGGAUUUUCACCUGGGGAAGCUCUGGUAAGCAUACACAGAGUGGAUGACCACUAACUGUUUGCCCACCCAGCCAUCUGGCACUCUCUUUCUUGGUCUGCUCAGCCUGCACUAGCCCACAGUGGUUGGCUAGGGGUGGUAAUGUUGCUUUCUUUUUCAUCUUUCAUUUCCUUCUUUUUUUUCUCUCUCCCUUCCCUCCCUCCCUUCUUUCCUAUCCUUCACUUAUUUCUUUCCUUCUCCUUCCUUCCUUUUUCUAGCCCAGUUAAAUUGAGUGACUUGCCUAAAGCAACUAAGGAGUGACCCAAGGCCCAGGUCUACUGACUUUUGUUGCUCUCCUCAGGGAAGAGGGAAGUAUCAUGUCUGUAACCCCUACCACUGUCCAGGCUUCAGGUGAGGUACUUUGCUCUAAAGCAUGAUGUGAGCUAGGUUUAUUGAGUCCAUUUCCUUAUCUGCAGAUCUUAGAUGAGGACAAUGAUGCUUAGCUGGCUAGUACCCUGCAUGAGGUUUCACAGCUGUUGUUUCAAGGGCCUUUGUUUGAAUCAUGAAAUGUGUCUUCCUAACAGCAUUCUGAGGAUGGUGCUUGUUCCCCCAUGUUCCAGAUGAGGAACAGGUGACUUUGAGCCCAGAGUCACCCAGGAAGUUUACACAGGAGCUGGGAUCCAAACCGAGUCAAACCCUUGAUCCCAUGCUUCUCAUCAUCACACACUGUUCUGGACUCUGCUCAGGUGCCCCCCACCCCAACCUCCUGACAGAAGCCACUUAGCCAGAUCUCCACAAUCAUUGUCAUUGUGUUCCCAAUGCCCAUUUUAUUAUAAUUGAGUAGGUUAAGGGUUGAUUGUGUUCUCCUUGUCCUUUCACCACGAAUGAUAGAUGGAGCUACAGCUUCUAAAGUGCAGAGCACCCCAUAAUCUCAGACACAUUAGGGGCAUGUGUGAAGCCACAGGUGCAGGAAAGCCUUGAAGACUGUUUCACCAAGUUGUGGGGAAGGGCAUUCCAGCAAGAUAGGACACCAUAAGCCUGAAAUAAUGCCA
ensembl:lncRNA